GCACUCGUAGCUCAGCUGGAUAGAGUACUCGGCUACGAACCGAGCGGUCACAGGUUCGGAGUACUCGGCUACGAACCGAGCGGUCACAGGUUCGAAUCCUGUCGAGUGCACCA
rnacentral:tRNA from 1 species